AAAAAGGAAAAAAAUAAGGGGGGGGGGGAAUUCGGAGCUGCGGAGCGAGCGGCAGGGGUUGAGCGGGCUCGGAGCGACUGGAGUGGCGGCGGUGCCGACCUGCGCUGGCUGCGCUUCUCCUCGUUUGUGUUUCUUAUUUUUCUUUCCUUUCUUGGCUUUUUUCUUUUUUUUUUUUUUUUUUUUUUUUAAAAAAAAAUCCUUUUUCUUUCCCUGCACCUUAGCUGAAAAUGGCUACCGGGGGCUUGGCGAUCGCUUGAGGAGGCAGAGAUGGCAGCAUUGCCGGAGGGGGGGCGCGGAGGACCGGCAGCCGCGACGCCCAUCACCGCCGCCCAGGGCGGGCAGCCUCUGCUGGGAUCGCGGCGGGUGCAAACCGGGCACAAGCCGCCGGGCUGCGAACACCCUCGGCGGGUAAACCCGGUGCUGCGGGGCUGGCGGAUGCUGCAGGCGGAGACUGCGCGCCCGUGUAGGGAUUAUUCACCUUUUUUCUGUUAUUCCUGGGUUUGAUUUUAUUGCCGUGCCACAGACCUACAACUGUACGUGCAAAUAAAAGCGAGAGCUCACGGAUA